rnacentral:rRNA from 1 species
UCUCCGAAUGGGGAAACCCGAGCAGGGAUUACCUGCCAGCCCGUGGUGAAUACAUAGCCACGAGGCAGCCAAGCCAGGGAACUGAAACAUCUAAGUACCUGGACGAAAGGAAAGCAAAAGCGACUCCCCUAGUAGUGGCGAGCGAACGGGGAAGAGCCUAAACCCAAGCAGUGCAAGCAUGCUGGCGUUGCUGUUUGGGGGUCGUGGGAUUCUGCAGGAGAGACGGCAUUCUCUCCGGCGAGUGACAAAGGACGAGUCUAAUCGAACGGCAAUGAAAGGCCGGCCAUAGAGGGUGACAGCCCCGUAGGUGAAAGACGAGUCUCUCGCGUAGAACACCCGAGUACCGCAGGACACGUGCAAUCCGGCGGGAAUCUGGGAGGACCAUCUUCCAAGGCUAAGUACUCCUGAUCGACCGAUAGUGAACUAGUACCGCGAGGGAAAGGUGAAAAGAACCCCGGUUAGGGGAGUGAAAUAGUACCUGAAACCGUGUGCCUACAAGCAGUGGGAGCACUAUGGCCGCAAGGCAAUGUGUGACCACGUACCUUUUGCAUAAUGGGCCUGCGAGUUACGCUACGUGGCGAGGUUAAGCCGAGAGGUGGAGCCGAAGCGAAAGCGAGUCCUAACAGGGCGAGGAGUCGCGUGGCGUAGACCCGAAACCUUAGCGAUCUAUCCAUGUCCAGGUUGAAGAGCGGGUAACACCGCUUGGAGGACCGAACUCACCGCAGUUGAAAAUGCGGGGGAUGAGGUGUGGAUAGGAGUGAAAGGCUAAUCAAGCUGGGAUAUAGCUGGUUCUCCCCGAAAUAUAUUGAGGUAUAGCCUCGGACGAAUUGCGGCGGAGGUAGAGCACUGAAUGGGCUAGGGGUCCUACCAGAUUACCAAACCCAAUCAAACUCCGAAUGCCGCCGACAAGUAUCCGGGAGUCAGGCUGCGGGAGAUAAGUUCCGUAGCCGAGAGGGAAAGAGCCCAGAUCGUCAGCUAAGGUCCCCAAGUCCGAGCUAAGUGUCAAAGGAUGUGGGAGCGCACAGACAACCAGGAGGUUGGCUUAGAAGCAGCCAUCCUUUAAAGAAAGCGUAAUAGCUCACUGGUCAAGCGAACCUGCGCCGAAAAUAUAACGGGGCUAAGCUCGGCACCGAAGCUACGGGUUCUCGAAAGAGAGCGGUAGGGGAGUAUUCUCAGGUAGAUACACGCCGGACGGUGACGACCGGUAACGGACCUGAGAAGAGCUUAUGCAGGCAUGAGUAGCGAUAAACCGAGUGAGAAACUCGGUCGCCGUAAGCCCAAGGUUUCCUGGGGAAGGAUAAUCCUCCCAUGGGUUAGUCGGAUCCUAAGCCGAGGCCGAGAGGCGUAGGUGAUGGGAAGCAGGUUAAUAUUCCUGCACCACCAAGGAUGGCGUUGAAGUAAGCGGGGACGGAGUAGGGUAGGCCGGGCACGGCGGAUGGUUUGCCGUGUUCAAGC